UACCACUCCUCUUUUUAGUCACCAACCUACCACUCCUCUUUUUGUGUGUACAAGACUAAAUAGUUCAUCAGGUCUCGGUAGAUGUUGUCCGAGAUCCUCUAGAGUGGAAGAGUGGGAGAGGUCAGAUGGGUUGACCUUCUCCUUCCAGUGCUUGUCGUAGAGUGUUGAAGACCUGGGGUUCUUUCCAUCAUCAAGAAUUAGAUAAUACGAGUUAUACACGAAGCAUAAUAAUAUUCUUUACAAAAUUAUGAUAUAUUAAACAUCAAUUAUGUACAAAAUAAAACGAGCACUAUUUAA